GCGCAGCAGGCGAGAAACCUCCGCAAUGCUCGAAAGAGCGACGGGGGGACUCCAAGUGCCUACGCUCAGCGUAGGCUGUUCCCGAGCCUAAAAAGCUCGGGGAGUAAGGGCUGGGUAAGACGGGUGCCAGCCGCCGCGGUAAUACCCGCAGCCCGAGUGGUGGCCGCUAUUAUUGGGCCUAAAGCGUCCGUAGCCGGCUCGGUAAAUGCCUGGGUAAGUCGUCUGGCCCAACCAGACGAAUUCCGGGUAGACUGCCGGGCUAGGGACCGGAGGAGGGAGAGGGGUACUCCAGGGGUAGGGGCGAAAUCAGCAAGGUGAGUUGCUGAUGUAACUUGCCUUGCAAGUCACAAUCCUGUAAUCCCUGGAGGACCACCGGUGGCGAAGGCGCUCUCCUAGGACGGGUCCGACGGUGAGGGACGAAAGCCAGGGGAGCAAACCGGAUUAGAUACCCCGUAGU
rnacentral:rRNA from 1 species